UGCCAGAUCGUCUAAUGGUAGGACAAGGGACUCUGGAUCCCUGUAUCUAGGUUCGAAUCCUAGUCUGGCAGCCA
rnacentral:tRNA from 1 species